rnacentral:rRNA from 1 species
AUACGUAGGGUGCGAGCGUUGUCCGGAAUUACUGGGCGUAAAGAGCUCGUAGGUGGUUUGUCGCGUCGUCUGUGAAAUUCCGGGGCUUAACUCCGGGCGUGCAGGCGAUACGGGCAUAACUUGAGUACUGUAGGGGAGACUGGAAUUCCUGGUGUAGCGGUGAAAUGCGCAGAUAUCAGGAGGAACACCGGUGGCGAAGGCGGGUCUCUGGGCAGUAACUGACGCUGAGGAGCGAAAGCAGGGGUAGCGAACAGGAUUAGAUACCCUGGUAGUCCAUGCCGUAAACGGUGGGCGCUAGGUGUAGGGGUCUUCCACGACUUCUGUGCCGUAGCUAACGCAUUAAGCGCCCCGCCUGGGGAGUACGGCCGCAAGGCUAAAACUCAAAUGAAUUGGCGGGG